rnacentral:rRNA from 1 species
UACGGAGGAUGCAAGCGUUAUCCGGAAUGAUUGGGCGUAAAGGGUCCGCAGGUGGCAUUGUAAGUCUGCUGUUAAAGAGUCUGGCUCAACCAGAUAAAAGCAGUGGAAACUACAAAGCUAGAGUAUGGUCGGGGCAGAGGGAAUUCCUGGUGUAGCGGUGAAAUGCGUAGAUAUCAGGAAGAACACCGGUGGCGAAGGCGCUCUGCUAGGCCAAAACUGACACUGAGGGACGAAAGCUAGGGGAGCGAAUGGG